GAGGAAAACGAAGAAGAAGAAGAAGAGGAAUCGGGAUUGUGAAGGAAAGCAAAGUGUUCUUCUUUUUUUCCCUCGUCUUCUUUUCUCUCGUCUUCUUUUCUCCCAUCCUCUUUUCCCUCAU
rnacentral:ribozyme from 12 species